rnacentral:lncRNA from 1 species
ACACCAGUUGGCAAAUCAACAUCUCCAGGAGAUCAUAUCUUAAAUGUGAAGUGAGCAGUUAAUGUUCCUAAACUACCUCUUAUUUUAAAGCCAUAGGAAAUCUUUUUUUUUUUUUUUUUUUUUUUUUGAGGCGGGGGAUAUCUUCCCAAACUCCUUGCAUGACAAGAAAUCUGCACAGAAGAUAGGAAGACCGGGUCACCCUGGGCCCCCUCAGCGACGUGGUUGCUUUAUGUUCUGUUGAGAAACCAUGGAGCCACUAUGCGAAGAAAGCCUGUUCUUUUUACUGGUGCCAAGAAAAAGAUUAGGAUUUGGGGCACAUAUGAAGAACAUGCAAGAUUGUUGCAUAGGUGCACACAUGGCAGUGUGAUUUGCUGCCUUCCUCCCCAUCACCUGUAUCUGGCAUUUCUCCCCAUGCUAUCUCUCCCCAACUCCCCACCCCCACUGUCCCUCCCCUAUUUCCCCCUGACAGACCCCAGUGUGUGAUGCUCCCCUCCCUGUGUCCAUGUGUUCUCAUUAUUCAACACCCACCUACGAGUGAGAACAUGUGGGGUUUGACUUUCUGUUCUUGUGUCAGUUUGCUGAGAAUGAUGGUUUCCAGGUUCAUCCAUGUCCCUACAAAGGACAUGAACUCAACGUUUUUGAUGGCUGCAUAAUAUGUCAUGGUGUAUAUGUGCCACAUUUUCCCUGUCC